CGUUCUCUCUCAUGAAGGAUAUGUUUUGAAAAUUAGUCUUACAAAAUACAAUUCCAAACCAACUCAUGCAGUUAUCGUCUUUUCACAGUAUUGAGGAGUCAUCCUUUUUGCUAGCCAGAGUGUUAAUUGGCAAAAGUGAAAAAUUCAUUUGUUUAAUUUUUUAAAUUAUUAACAAGUAGAACCAUGGCAACCAGUUUUGAUGAUGAACCAGAAUGGCUCAAGGAUCAUACUUAUACUAUUUCUACUCUCUGGGCAGACAUUAAUAAUAUUGGCAUCCAUUCAAUAUUUAAUUUAUGUUUGGAAAUGCAAGAAAAAGGCAUGCAUUCCUGAGGAGUCAAUGAUUGGUUGCACCUCUUAAAGAUAACUUUCUGUUAUGAGAAAAGAUGAGAUUGUUGGACUCCUGCAUAGCACCACCAGAAAGGAAAAUCCUAUCUUGUUGCAAAAUAAGUCUUGGACCAAUUUUAAUUUAAGAUAUAUAUAUUAUACUGUAAGCUUUAUACAUAUUUAUGUAUAUCCUUUCAUUCAGCCAACAGGUUUGGAUUUAAUAUUUCUUUAAAUCUGUUUGAUAUUGUACUUAAAAACUAUUAAUCUGAGCCCCAUUAAAACAAGAGGGAGUGCAGUGGAUGAGUGGUAAGGGAAAUUUUACUUUUUAAAAAUUAAAAUAAGAAUCUAACAAAAGUAAACAUAUAAAAUAUGGUGCAUUCUCCUUAAAACUAAAACCUGGUGCAAAGGUUUAAAAUGUUGGCAAAAAAAAAGCAACAUCAAUUAAAUAUUCUUAAUUCCCUUUGCAAAACUUACUGAGAAGAACAUGCAUGUUGUUCCCUCAUAAGUUUCUUGACAGAGGAAAUCUUGUUUAUAUUAGAUUUGGAUUAAGCAAAUUAAGAAAAAAAUUAUAAUCAUUAUUUCAAAUGGUUGUAUCUAAACCUUAUGAAUUAUUUUUCAGUUAUAAGUAUAUUGAAAUGAAUGGAUAAUCAUGAAAUUGUUAAAUAAUUGCUGCUAUCAUUCCAUUGACUAAAGAACCAUAAUUUUUUUUUUAAAUUAAUUUCAAAAUGAUUUUUUUCAAGCAGAGCUCACAUAGAUCUUGGGUG